AUAUCUCUCCGUACGGGAAGGAUGAGAAGCUUCGACUAAGGUUCGAUUCGAGCGAAAGCGAGAAAGCGUUGCCAACGGCAACGACCCGAAGGGCGAAGCGCGCAG
rnacentral:sRNA from 1 species